UACAGAGGCCCCAAGCGUUACUGAGAAUCACUGGGUUUAAAGGGUGCGUAGGUGGCGCGUUAAGUCCGUUGUGAAAGCCCUGGGCUCAACCCAGGAACUGCUUCGGAUACUGGCGCGCUUGAGGCUAGUAGGGGUCACUGGAACUGACGGUGGAGCGGUGAAAUGCGUAGAUAUCGUCAGGAACGCCAAUGGUGAAGACAGGUGACUGGGCUAGUUCUGACACUGAGGCACGAAAGCGUGGGGAGCGAACGGG
rnacentral:rRNA from 1 species